rnacentral:rRNA from 1 species
AGGGUGUAAACGCUGCAGACUUGGUGUUGGAAGCCCUUUGGGGGCAUUCAGUGCCGGAGGGAAGUUGUUAAGUCUGCUACUUGGGGAGUACGUCCGCAAGGAUGAAACUUAAAGGAAUUGGCGGGGGAGCACCGCAACGGGAGGAGCGUGCGGUUUAAUUGGAUUCAACACCGUAAAACUCACCAGGGAAGACUGUUACAUGAAGGCCGAGAUGAAGACUCUGCUAGAUUUUCAGAGAGGAGGUGCAUGGCGUCAGUGACU